AGAAAUAGCUCAGUGGUAGAGCGCUUGCCUAGCAAGCACAAGGCCCUGGGUUCGGUCCUCAGCUCUG
rnacentral:tRNA from 1 species